rnacentral:rRNA from 1 species
CAGUAGCCACGGUAAUACGGAGGGGGCUAGCGUUGUUCGGAAUUACUGGGCGUAAAGCGUGCGCAGGCGGUUCGUUAAGACAGAUGUGAAAUCCCCGGGCUUAACCUGGGACCUGCAUUUGUGACUGUAUAGCUAGGGUACGGUAGAGGGGGAUGGAAUUCCGCGUGUAGCAGUGAAAUGCGUAGAUAUGCGGAGGAACACCGAUGGCGAAGGCAAUCCCCUGGACCUGUACUGACGCUCAUGCACGAAAGCGUGGGGAGCAAAUAGGAUUAGAUACCCCCGUAGUCCCUGUCUCUUUACA